CGGAAGUUUUCGGAUGGAAGUUGAAUUGACUGAGUGGCGGACGGGUGAGUAACGCGUGGGUAACCUGCCUUGUACUGGGGGACAACAGUUAGAAAUGACUGCUAAUACCGCAUAAGCGCACAGUAUCGCAUGAUACCGUGUGAAAAACUCCGGUGGUACAAGAUGGACCCGCGUCUGAUUAGCUAGUUGGUAAGGUAACGGCUUACCAAGGCGACGAUCAGUAGCCGACCUGAGAGGGUGACCGGCCACAUUGGGACUGAGACACGGCCCAAACUCCUACGGGAGGCAGCAGUGGGGAAUAUUGCACAAUGGGCGAAAGCCUGAUACAGCGACGCCGCGUGAGUGAAGAAGUAUUUCGGUAUGUAAAGCUCUAUCAGCAGGGAAGAAAAUGACGGUACCUGACUAAGAAGCCCCGGCUAACUACGUGCCAGCAGCCGCGGUAAUACGUAGGGGGCAAGCGUUAUCCGGAUUUACUGGGUGUAAAGGGAGCGUAGACGGUAAAGCAAGUCUGAAGUGAAAGCCCGCGGCUCAACUGCGGGACUGCUUUGGAAACUGUUUAACUGGAGUGUCGGAGAGGUAAGUGGAAUUCCUAGUGU
rnacentral:rRNA from 1 species